rnacentral:lncRNA from 1 species
UAAUAAUUAAUUAAUUAAUAAUUUUAUUCUUAUUAAUUAAUUUAUUAUUAAUUAAAUAAUUUAUUUAUUUUUAAUUAAUCAAUUAAUAAUUUAUAAUUAUUAAUAAUUAAUUAUUUAUAUUUUAUUAUUUAAAUAAUUUUUUAUUAAUUAAUUUAUUUAUAUUUUAUAAUUAUUAAUAUUAAUUUAUUAUUAUUAAGUAAUAUUUUGAUGUUAAUUAAUUAGGUAAAAUAAUUUUAAUUUAAAAUUAUAACUCUUAUCCUAUUUCUAGGAACAACCCAAUUUUUAUCCAAACGCAAAAUUGGUCAAAUUCCUGCUUAUAUCUGAACUUGUACCUAUCCCUGGAAUAAGCAGUUCUUAUUUAUACCCGAACCAAACGCAGUCUCAGGGAUUGAUCAG